rnacentral:rRNA from 1 species
UACGGAGGGAGCUAGCGUUGUUCGGAAUUACUGGGCGUAAAGCGCGCGUAGGCGGCUUUGUAAGUUAGAGGUGAAAGCCCGGGGCUCAACUCCGGAACUGCCUUUAAGACUGCAUCGCUUGAAUCCGGGAGAGGUGAGUGGAAUUCCGAGUGUAGAGGUGAAAUUCGUAGAUAUUCGGAAGAACACCAGUGGCGAAAGGCGGCUCACUGGCCCGGG